rnacentral:sRNA from 1 species
UAUUCAUAUUAAUAUAAACAAUUUUAAAUUAUUAUAUACAUAUUCACCAGCCUCGCUAUUAUUCUCUUUCAGACACAAUAAUCGAGGAAUCUCCAUAGAUUCUAUUCUCCGACGCCGGCGAAGCCCUCCCCUGCCGACGUCGGGACAUAAGUCACCAUAUCUUCCCUCGUUCUCGAUCUCGUGUUCAUGCUAUCUUUUUAGAUAAACUUUUUUUUUAAUCUCUUUAAAGCUUUUCGAUCUUUCUCGAUCCACAUGUAUCUCCCAAGCAGAUGGCCAGCGAUGUCCAUCUAUCACGCCCUACUCGAAUCUUCUUCCCUGACAUCAUACCCUUUGCCCCUCUUGACCCCGAUUUCCCUCACUGGAGAAUCCAAACUCCCAUGGUCUUCUACAUGUGCCUUGAAUCCCGAAUCAACCCCUCAGUCACCGCCUUUUCGUUCACCGGAGAUGCUUGAGCCACCGCGAAACCCAUCAGCAUCUAGGCCUUGUCAUUUAGAUUUCGGAUCGGAUUCGGUUUGGAUUAUUUCGGAUUCGGAUAAUUCGGAUGAGAGAGUUAUUAUCAGUUCGGAUUAUAUGACUAUUCGGUUCGGUUUUGGUUUGGAUUGUGUCGGAUUCAGAUCGGUUUCGGAUCAGUUUUUGAGAAUUUUUUAAUAAAAAUCGUUGGGUUUUAUUAAAA